rnacentral:sRNA from 1 species
UCUUCUUCUAGCUUCUCAAAGCUUUCAUGGUGUAGCCAAAGUCCGUAUGAUUCUUUGGCUUUGUAUCUUCUAACAAGGAAACACUUCUUAGGCUUAUAAGAUCGGGUUGCGGUUUAAGUUCUUAUACUCAAUCAUACACAUGACAUCAAGUCAUAAUCGAUUGCAAAACACUAACCAACCUUCUUCUUGCGUCUUGAUAAUAAGUUUUUAGUCAAUUAUUCCUAAAACACCAAUCAUGUCGUUGUAGUAUUUUAGGUGUCAAUCCAAAUGGGUGUGAUGCAAACAGAUGAGAUGUGAUCAGAAGUCACUAAGUCAAGCCAAGCAAUAACAGUUUUGGGGUUUCUAACAGUCCUAAGCGAACAUGCAGAAAACAGAAGCAAUAACAGAAUUACUAAAAUCACUCGACCACAACAGGCUGAUGCCAGAAGUAGGAUGUGGUCGAGUAACAGGUCGAGUAAUAGACAGGAUAUGAAACAGCUAUACUCGACUGCACAGUCUGUUGCCAGACACUGGGUGUGGUCGAGUAAGUUGGUCGAGUGAUUGUAAAAACUAAGAAACAGGCAAUGAGAACGAUUAAGCGAUAACGAUAAAACAGAGAAAUAAGAUAGACGAGAAAUUCCUAAAGAUGGGGUAAUCGAGUAGAGUGGUGUCCUAGCCUAUUCGAAUGGUUAACAAGCGCAAUCAAGCUAUCCCUAGACAACAGGUUCAACAACAGACCAAUUCACUCCCGUGAUAGAAAUCCUCAAGCAAAGCUAGCCCAGACUAAUUCCCAUUAACGGAAUCUAACUAUGCAGGCAAUACGAACAGACUGAUAAAGUCAAUAAACGCUCUAAACGGCCAAUCCCUUGGGAUAGAGACGCAUAUCUCAGGAACUAGUGGAUCAAGCAUUCCAUCGAACACCUUCUGGGUGCGGGAAUGCUUGGGAUCGAAUUCCAGUUGAUCAGAAAGAAAUAAGCAGUAAACGCAACUAGUCCUAAAGGGAUUCAAUCAAUUCUAAAACUUAACCAUUCUACAGACUACGGAUUCCACAACUACUCUAUCCCAUCCCUAAGAAUUCUAAGUCACUACUCAGACAGCAUGCUCAAAGACAUAAACGCAGGUAAACGAUAAUAUUGCAUAAGUAAAGAGAUAAAGAGUAGAGAAACAAGAUGACUAAUGAAAUCAAACGCGGAAUCUCAAUAACUUGGAAAAUUCGCGAACCACAGGUUGCAGAAGCAAAAGCGGCGUAGCAGAGUAAAACUGAAAAUAAAACUGAAGCAAAAACGCAAUGUCGACUAGAUGUCUCAGGACAGAACCCUAAAACAUCUAUUUAUACCAAACGAAAUAAAAUGAUCGUAAACGGGCCAAUAACCUAAUCGCCCAGCCCAUAGAGUGAUAAUGGGCCGAGAUGGGCUUCGUGAUCCGAUGGAGGUCCAGGCCGCUUCCAAACACUUUGUCUUCUCUUCUUUUCUUCCUUGUGCUCAGCUUGUCUGGUUGAGUGCGGAUUUGAGUAGACUGUGAAGACGUGAUCGAGUGUCCGGUCGAGUGAUGGUGAUGGUGGUGAGUGAUGAUACUCGACCAGGGGGUCGAGUAACGUGGUAGAGUGAAUGGUCGAGUGUGGUCAGGUGGUGUGGCGAAGCGGUACUCGACCAGGGGGUCGAGUAAUGUCGUCGAGUGGCCUGAGCUGAGGUUACUCGACCUGGUGGUCGAGUGGACGGGAAGAAUGGCUCCAAAGUCACUCGACCUGGGGGUCGAGUAUGUGGGAAGAAUGGCUCCAAAGUCACUCGGCCUGGGGGUCGAGUAUGUCUUCUGGUUCUGGCUCGAUUCUUCCAAUUUGCUCGCAAACAGCUCCAAAUCACCUGAAAACAACUCAGAAAUGCAAUAUGUAUGCAAAGCUAUCCUAAUCAUGCAAAAUGUGCAAGAAUGAUGAGAAAUGGUAUAAAACAGUGAUGAAUGAUACGAAACUAGACUCAAAGUGAUGAUGAAUAGACACUGAAAACAUGCAAAUUAUAGACAUAUCAACUCCCCCAAACUUAGUCUUUGCUUGCCCUCAAGCAAAUAAGAAGACAUAGUUGAAGGAGAGGAGUGAAGGCGGGGACUCAGAACCAAAGCAUAUGAUAGAGCAAAUAAAAUCAAUGUCCAAGUUGGUAGUUCUAAGAUGCGAUAUGAUUGAAUUCCACUCAAAAACGUUAGCCAUGCCUUGUUAUCAAUAAAUCCGUCUCUUAUACUCGACCUACACAUGUUUUCAAAUCUACCAAUCCCUUUAACAUUCAUUAGUUCUGGAACGUGAAUCAAGCAAUGCAUCAUCAAUGAACUCAUUUGGCUAAGGUGAAGGUCAAGAGACAAAGAUGGUCCCCUACAGAAUAGGCUUAAGUAACAGGGGAUCCCUCAAGAAUGAUUGAGCUUUAGUAGAAUGCUAAAGGUAAGUCCCAAGUUAUGCAUACAGAGAUAAGAUCCCAUCUACCCAGAGUAUAACAAUGAAGCUCUAAUGGUAAUCCCAACUCCUGUCCCAACUUAACUCUACCCUUUGCACUCAUGAAUCUUUCAAACUCUUUUUCAUAUCAUUCUUUUUUU